GUUUACUCUAACGUAAAGCCCUCCGAUUUCGUCUUGCAGAAGAAAAGUCAGUGCAGAGACAUCAGAAUGGCGACCUACGCCUAUUGUGAGGUUCGGAUUUGGACAUCUUGGAUAGUAGUUUAGGUUAAUUCUUUUCGAACCCAUUAGUAAAGAUUCUUUCUUUUCAUCUAUUUCUUUCACGUUCAAUCUCUCCAUUAAAACACCCAUUAGCUUCUUGCAGAGGAUUUCUGAUCUUUUCAUGUAUUCCAAGCAUUCAUCCCUAUACCAGAAAAUCAACAAUUAGUAUUAGUUUGUUAGUAAUUUUGUUCGAAGCAUAAGCUGACUCAAGAAAAGAAGAAUAAAUAAAUAAAGCAGAGUUCAGUUGAGUUUAAAAAUAAUUACUUGCAAGCAGAAGGCCACAAAGCAGAAGCUUCAUCUUCAGAGACAUAAAAAAGGCUAAGAUAAUCUUUCCAUUCAAGUGCCUUCUCAGCAUCAGGACUAAAGCUUGUACCGAACCUGACAUUAUUAGUAGAUGAAAGCUCCUUAGAGUAAUUCCUCUUAACUUCAGCUGGUAGCCCAAAGAAACGAUGUGUCGCAUCCUUAACACCGUCAAGAACCUCAAGUGGGACUCCAUGGUUAACCAAUUGGAAGAACCCAUACUUCUCUGCAGCAUCACAAAUGGACUCAGCAACUUUAGGGUCACUAUCCCAAUUGGACAUGUCAAUAACAGGAAUUGAUUCAUGAGGUAUGAUAUUAAUCAACGCUUCUUGGGGUUGAAUAUAUUGCUUCGGAAGGCUUUUGAGACCCAAAUCUGAAAGACCCUUCACUCCAUUUCCUUUGUUAAUCACAAAAUCAGUNNNNNNNNNNNNNNNNNGUUCGGAUUUGGACAUCUUGGAUAGUAGUUUAGGUUAAUUCUUUUCGAACCCAUUAGUAAAGAUUCUUUCUUUUCAUCUAUUUCUUUCACGUUCAAUCUCUCCAUUAAAACACCCAUUAGCUUCUUGCAGAGGAUUUCUGAUCUUUUCAUGUAUUCCAAGCAUUCAUCCCUAUACCAGAAAAUCAACAAUUAGUAUUAGUUUGUUAGUAAAUUUGUUCGAAGCAUAAGCUGACUCAAGAAAAGAAGAAUAAAUAAAUAAAGCAGAGUUCAGUUGAGUUUAAAAAUAAUUACUUGCAAGCAGAAGGCCACAAAGCAGAAGCUUCAUCUUCAGAGACAUAAAAAAGGCUAAGAUAAUCUUUCCAUUCAAGUGCCUUCUCAGCAUCGGGACUAAAGCUUGUACCAAACCUGACAUUAUUAGUAGAUGAAAGCUCCUUAGAGUAAUUCCUCUUAACUUCCGCUGGUAGCCCAAAGAAACGAUGUGUCGCAUCCUUAACACCGUCAAGAACCUCAAGUGGGACUCCAUGGUUAACCAAUUGGAAGAACCCAUACUUCUCUGCAGCAUCACAAAUGGACUCAGCAACUUUAGGGUCACUAUCCCAAUUGGACAUGUCAAUAACAGGAAUUGAUUCAUGAGGUAUAAUAUUAAUCAACGCUUCUUGGGGUUGAAUAUAUUGCUUUGGAAGGCUUUUGAGACCCAAAUCUGAAAGACCCUUCACUCCAUUUCCUUUGUUAAUCACAAAAUCAGUCAGAUCAAAGGAAUCAGUGGACAUUGUUGGAGCCAUUUCUUCUUCAACUAGUUAAAAGAAAGUAAUUGAUUGAGGGAGAAUAAUAGCUCUUAAUAUUAGUAUAUGAAGUAAGAAGAAAAUGAAAAUGGUAGAGGUGGUACCGGUGACAAUCAAAGUAUUAUCCAUUGCUAUUUAUAGCUUCUCUUCCUUGAUGAUUAAAACAAAUGUGGACUGCUAUGGUAUUUCUUUACAAUUUUUCUUUUGUUAACUAUAAUAAAAAAAUUAAAAUAAGUAACUUACCUACCCAUUUUGUUCACUUGCCUACCUUCUUCCAAGUUUAGUCUAAUUAGGACCAAUUUUUUAUAAGACCAACUGCUUUCUUAUUUUAAAUCCCUCAGUGCACCACUAAUUGUUUGACUGAGUUUGGGAUAUUUAUAAUGAAUAUGAUUUUGGCAUGUUAAUGUUAUGGCCAAAAUAAUAAUUUGUUAUUACUAUUUUAUCAUAGUUUUGUAAAUUGUUAACAACAAAUUAAAUAAAUAAAUAUCUCCAAUUUAUUUUUUAUUUGCAUCUAAAUAUUAACCCAUUUUUUAUCUCAAAAAAAAAAAAAAAAAAUAUAUAUAUAUAUAUACCGUUAGAUUAAAAGAAAAGAUUUACAAUUUAUUCCAUCUAUGGUUUCUUAACAUUUCAUGUCCAAAUAAAACAUUACGCAGAGCAACGUUUUAUUAACAAUUAAAAGAGUGUAAUCAUUAAGCAUUAUCUUAAAAAUUAUUGUUGAGCAAAUGCCAAAUGCUAUACAUAAAAUAUAGUAAUAAAAAUAAUAAAGAGCAUCAUUUAAAUAGUGUUAAAAUAAGUACUUUUUUUCCUCUUCUUCGUUUCUUUGUACCUAAUUUUUUUUACAUCAUUCCUCUCUUAUUUCUUCUUCUUUUUCAGUUUCUUUUUUCUUGUUCUCCUUCAUCUUCUUUUUUCAUUUUCAUGUCCUUCAUUUUUUGUUUUCUCUCUCUUUUUUAAGUUCUUUAUUCUUCCUAAAGUCUCUUCUUUUGUUUUUAUUUUUUUUUAGUUUUAAUUAAUUUUUCUCGUAUUAGCUUAAGCUCCAUUUGUUUCCGUAAAAUAACUUGCUGGAAAACAUUUUCAUGAAAAACAUUUUGCUUGAAAAAUAUUUUUCAAAUGACUUACUUUAUGUUGUUUGGUUGUAAUAUUGAAAAUUAGUUAAAAAUAUUAAAGUUUUUAUCUCAUAAUACCAUAAAAAAUAUUAAUAAUAAUAAAAAUUUUAUAAUUUAAAAAUUUUAUUGUUAAAUAUGAAAAGAAUGCAAAUAUAUAUAUAUAUAUAUAUAUNNNNNNNNNNNNNNNNNNNNNNNNNNNNNNNNNNNNNNNNNNNNNNNNNNNNNNNNNNNNNNNNNNNNNNCCCGUCAGUGGUCAAAUUUAAAUGGUGACUGGUGGUAGUGACUAUGAUGAUCAAUAAAUUUAAAAUAUGGAUGAUCAAUAAAUAAAUAUGGUGAUUAUCCGAAAAUUUUUUUACUCUCUCGAAAAUGGGAAGUUGUUUUUCUUAAAAAAUAACUUAAUUUUCCUUUAACCUGGAAAAUAUUUUCAGUUUAGUUAUUUUCCCGAGUGCCCGAAACAACGAAAAAUUGUGGAAAAUAUUUUCUUGUAAGUUAUAUUAUAGAAAUAAAUGGAUUAGUUAUAAAAUUUUAGAUGAUAUAAUUAAUAAAUAUAAUUGGUUUAAUCAAUUUUAUCAUUAAUUAAUGAUAAUCAAUUAAUAAAAUAUUUUAAAUUUUUAAAAUAUCUACUAAUUUAGCAACUGAUUAAAAACAAAUAAUUAAUAUUCGCAAACAUAUUGUCAAAACAGAAACAAAAGGGGAUUUGUAAUUAACAAAGGCAAAUUUCUAGAAGUUGGCCAUUGCUAGCCCGCCUGCAAACUUACCAGCUGCCGCAAGUAAUUGAGUAGAGCAGGUUUCUUUAAACUUCCUAAUUAAUUCAAGCAAAUCUGAUUCAUAAAUGUCAGUAAUGACUAUAAAUAAAUUAAUAAACUUUUUCUUUUCUGGUUUUUUAACCAUGCGGUGUCCGUAGAAGACUAGCCCGACUAUAAUUUAUCAUUUUCUCUCUUUAGUUUUUCCAACUUAGUUUGCAGUUUGAGUUACUCAUUGAUCCAUUUAAUUAAUUAAUUAUUCACAUUACUGGACUGCUCUAGACUAGCAAUUUAAUAAAAAUUGGUAGAACCAACGCACAUGCUUGUUUUAAAAAAAGAAAUUUUGUAUCUCUCUAGCAAUUUCUGUCCUGUCCACCAAUUGCUUUCCAACUUACAAAGAAUCUGCAUAUAAAAAAAAAAAAAAAAAAAAAAAAAAAAAAAAACUCCUUUCUCCAUCUCUAUGUAAAUCAAUUAAAUUAAGUACUUAAAAGCUUUCUUCCAGAUCGAUCAAAUGGUUGGUGGAUCUCUAAACAAUGUUGCAUUAAUUAAUAAAUGCCAGAUGCCUGGAAUUUGUUGGUCAAUUUCUCAGUAUCUUGAGGAGAAGAUCAAUUCACCUAAUUAAUCUACUGUUUUUAGUUGCCUUUUAUCUGGGAAACAAGCAUUCAAGAUUACCUUUCUUUCAUUGCAAAUUUAUUAAAAAUCAUAUCAUCCUUUCUUUCGAUAGAAUAAUUCUACCACGUAUUCUUUGAGUAAAUAAUUUAAUUCAAAAACUAUCUAUUUUUGGUAUGUAUCUUAUAAAGUAAACCAAUGGAGUUUUGGUUGAAGCGGUAAGUAACUUUAAAUAUAUAUGGAUGAGAGGGUAAAAAACCUAUAAAUUAGAGGGAAAAAUAGAUUUUUUUUAAUAUUAAUUUGACUAUAAAUUAGAGAUGAAUUUAUAUUUUUUCUAUAAUAUUAUUUGCUCUAUGUUUUGCCUAAAAUAUGCCUAAUUGAAGAAUAAGUCUAAUGAAUCAAAAGAGACUAUCUAUUUCUUACGAAAACGAAUAGACCAAAGUGAUUCCUGCUUCUCUAUAUGUACUUGUUUUGUGUUGGAUACUCAUUGGUGUAUUCAGGAUGAGCCUAUUGGCUCAGGAUCAUCGUUGGUUGCAUGAUUUACGUAGUUGACAAUCUUAUUUUAUUAAUUAAGUUCCAAUUUCAAGUUCAUAAAAAUAACCCAAAACACACCUGCAGAGGUGAAUUAUAGUUCUCUAAUCAUAGGGUUCCGAUACACUGGUUUACAAAAAAAAAAAAAAAAAGAAAAAAAACCAUAAAGUAUUGUGAAAAAAUUUAAUCUGAAUUAGCGUGUCACUGUCAACUAACACGAAUACAGCCACGAUAGUUCCAACUUGUAAAAAUAAUUAAAAUUACAUUCUUGUUUCUAUUUCUAAAGGAAAAAGAAAAAGAACAACAGUUAUUAAUUCUUAUUUUUAACAAAUCUGAAAUUUUAUUCAAUAAAGAUUAUAUGAUUACGGCAUUAUUAACAGUGACACAAACUAUUACUACAUUCAUAAUAUAACAGUUGUAGUAAAAUUAUUUAGCAACAGCAAAGUCAACAGUCUUCUUCCCAUCAUGAGCCUUUCUGAAGAAAUGCUUGACAUAAUCAGAAUAAAGGAUGUUUUUGUAUUUAGGCUUCUCUCCACUUGCAAGAACUUCAGGCAAAGGACCGAUCACAUCACUCGGCUUUGGAUUAACAAAAAUCGGAAUUGAGAUUCUGUUUUUGCUUCCACUAGCAAUUACACAGUGCUCUAUACUCUUAUAUCGACCGUUGCUUAAUAUCUGCAGUGCAUCUCCUACAUUGAUAACGAGUGAGCCUUCAAUAGGAGGAACAUGAACCCAUCCAUCUUCUUCUCCUUUUCCUUCGUUUACUCUAACGUAAAGCCCUCCGAUUUCGUCUUGCAGAAGAAAAGUCAGUGCAGAGACAUCAGAAUGGCGACCUACGCCUAUUGUGAGAUUAGGAUUUGGACAUCUUGGAUAGUAGUUUAGGUUAAUCCUUUUGGAACCCAUUAGUAAAGAUUCUUUCUUGUCGUCUAUUUCUUUCACGUUCAAUCUCUCCAUUAAAGCACCCAUUAGCUUCUUGCAC
rnacentral:lncRNA from 1 species